GGCAGGUGCGUCGAACCGUCGGACCGACGGACGGCCCGGAUGACGCCACGCGGCAAGAUCCGGGGAGUCUUCGUUGGUCGUGCCUUCAUCUCGACCGUUGGGGGGCACUAUAUAUACAAAGUUACCCCCACAUGGUUCUUUACCCUCCUCAUUUUACAGUUGAAACUCUGCCCGCGUGAGUCCUUGUUCCAGGUACUCUCUCGCU
rnacentral:lncRNA from 1 species